AUAUUAAUUUCUCUCAAUUACAAUUCCUUCAUGAUAAGCUUCAAAUAACAUUAAAAUAUACCCAAUAAUGUGUUGAGUCUCUUGAGUUUUCUAUUUCGCUUUAGAAAGAGAACGAAAGAUUUAAAGACAUAAGUAACCGAAAAAUAAGUCUACUUGAUAUCCAAAUCAAGUUUUAGUGCUUGGACAUGGGAAGAGAGAAUUGCUACUUCGGUUGGUUGCUACUAAUUUUUAUUGUGUUCUCCAGUGUUGCCUUUUGCCACGGUGACUUCUAAUGAACAAUGGGCUAAUACCAUUCUGCAAAUAUCACCUCAAAUUUCUUUUCUUUCCUCUCAUCCUUACAUAUAUGUUUAUUUACACAGAUAAGAGCUUGAAGUUUAAUUUGCUUUUGUUUGUUGUGUGUUUAUGUUGUUGAUUAAUUGCAGGAGAUGACUUUUCGUCAUGAUAUGGUUGGAAAACAUUACCCCAUUUUUGCGAUUAAUGAGAGGUGUAUACAGAUAAGUAGAGGAUAUUGCUAGAAGAUGUUCCAGCUGGAUUGGCGAGCUCCAUUUCUUUCCGGAGUGUUGCCGAGUCAGAGUAUCUAUGUUAUGCAUCAGAAAAAUAAAAAGGUGUUGUUGAAGGGCCCAGCUGAAGACGGAGUUUACAGGCUUCCUAUUGCUGCAUUAGAGUACAUUAAAGGAAAUAGCAAGGUUUUUAAAGCUGUUCGGACUGCUGCACUAGAUUGACAUGCUCGGCUUGGUCAUCCUCAAUAAUUAACAAUCUCUUGUAUUGUUAAUAAGUUUAGUUUGCCUAGUAAUUCAAUAAAUCAUCUGAUCUAUGUGAGGCUUGUUUUUUAGGCAAACAUAGUCGGAUUUCUUUACCCGUUACUGGUUCUAUUGCUAGUAGACCAUUGGAAUUGAUUCAUGGAGAUAUAUGGGACCAGCUCCCACCUUAUCUUUUAAUGGAGAUAAAUAUUUUGUUCUAUU